CUUGUCCUACGGGGGGCAGCAGUGGGGGAUAUUGCACAAUGGGGGGAACCCUGAUGCAGCGACGCCGCGUGGGCGAUGGAGCGCCUCGGCGCGUAAAGCUCUAUCAGCAGGGAAGAAAAAAAGUCUUUGGCUUUGGACGGUACCUGACUAAGAAGCCCCGGCUAACUACGUGCCAGCAGCCGCGGUAAUACGUAGGGGGCAAGCGUUAUCCGGAUUUACUGGGUGUAAAGGGAGCGUAGACGGCAGCGCAAGUCUGGAGUGAAAUGCCGGGGCUCAACCCCGGAACUGCUUUGGAAACUGUGCAG
rnacentral:rRNA from 1 species